rnacentral:lncRNA from 1 species
ACAAAUUGAAAAUAUCAUGGUAUUUAUUAUGAAUAUACAAGAGUGUAGGAUACAUAUGCAUUAAAAUAAAUAAAUACCAAUGUUAUUGGUGCAACAACAUAUCAUUCAUAUCAAUUUGACUAUAGAGAACAGAUCUAUGGAGAAUAUUACACUGUAGCAUCUUGUGAAUGGCAUUACAUUUUUUUUCAAUCGAUCAAUGUAAACUCCGGUUAUUGCUAAGUAUAAUCUUCUAGUUUUAUUUGCUUCUUCAUCCAACCGGAGAACUCAGAUGCAACUCAAUUAUCCUUCUUUUGAAUCUGUAAAAGAAAAAUGGACCUUAAAAUUAUGUGAUUAGUUGUACACAAAUAUAAUUUGGGAAUAUGGAAGAAAAGGCUUUAAUUUACAACAACACAAGUCCAUGAAAUUAAGUAUCCUGAAGGCAAAGCAUCACCAAUUCUCUUGCAAUCAGAAACUUACUAACUCAUUAUCCAGAAUAGGCUCAUCCAUGCACACAAGUGCAAAUUCGUCACCUAAGUCAAUAUCUCACCAACAUUAGUUUCUAGAUCACUACUCCAAAUAGUAGCAUAUGCAACAUUCCGUUAGUUUUGAUAUGUUAAAUUCAUUAAAACUACUUGGUAAGCAACCUAUAUUAUGAUCAAUAUUAUCAUUCAACGGCAAUGAUAAUAGAAUUUGCAUGAACAAUAUGUCAAUGGAUACACAUGGUCAUAGUUCAAGAAGACUGUCAUGACCAUUCACUUCGUUACGUACGCAUUCAAGCUACAAGCGGGACUAAUAGAGGGAUGCCCAUAUUGCGCGCAUGUGUUCGUGGGCAGCCCGCGAUCAACGAUGUUUAGUUUGCCUGCCCACAUAAUCCAUUUAAUCCCACAUAGUACUAAACCAACCCGCUAUUGUAUUAAGAGUUCUGACCGUCACCACGUGGCAGAUGUGUGGUAAGAAACCACACAAAAAAGAGUUCGGACAAUUCUAGCUCUUGUACAAAUCAAUACUAACUUGUUGUAUCUGGACAUUAGUUGAACACGACAACACAAACAACUGACAAUCAGGUCACUACAUGAGAAAGCACAUGCAAAGUGGCCCCCGGUGUGAAAAUUUCAGAGUGGCAAAGCAAAUCAGAGCAAAGCAUCAACAUACUAUUGACAAAUCAGGAGCAGAGCACCUAUGUUGUGUUGUAUGUGCAUGCUUGUUGCUCUGUUGGGCAUGUGUGUAUGUGCUUUCUAGUACCUAACCAAAGUACUCGCAAGACGUUUUCUAACAGUAGACAUUCCAUGGCAAAGUUAGAAAGCAUAUAAACAUUCUAUGUGAAUUAUCAAUGAGCGCGUCCAUAUGACUCCAUAAACAUAUACCUGGAACCAGUAGCCAUCAUUACAGUGGCUUUAAGCAACAUGGAACUGAUAUGCAUAAACCCUUGAGGUGUCGACACUAACCGAGCUCCCCGCAAACAUUCUGUAAGAGUAGAAUGAUAAAUAACUUGAGAUAGAAAUAGAUGUACAGCCAAAAGCAACAGACUAUAAGCAUGCAGUGAAACCAUAUAUUCAACAAAUUUGGAAUGAAAUGUAGAACCUAUUUUGCGCAUAAUGUAACCAGGAUGGAUACUUGGUAAAAGGUGAUGUUAUGUUACAUUUACCUAAAUAAAAAGGUAACCAUGAUGGGUACUUGGUAAAAAGUGAUGUUAUCACCCAUUGGAUUAUAUCAAACUAGCAUAUGAGAUUGAGAUACAAGAAAUAUAAUAAUUAAAGUGAAAUAAACAGACAAGCUUCUGCUGUAUUUUCAUAGUGAUAAUUGGGAAAUACUACACUAAAAUGAUCAUACAUCUACUAGAACCCUUACCAUGAAAAGCACAGGUAUUACAUCUACAAUCCCUGUCAGUAAAGUAGAUGUAUGUGUUUCUCUUCACAAUCUCUACUAACAAAUCUGACGGCGCAAUUUUCCGAGUGCAACACUAGCAUAGUGGCAAGCCUUUGUCGAGUUUGACAUGCCGUGACCUAUUUAACUGAAUAAAAAAAUUGCACAGGUAUUCAGGUAUGUAUGUAUACGUGCCAGUUUGAGAGUAUUCGAGUAUGUACAGAUAUAUGACAAGUAUUCAGUUAUGUACAUCUCCACCACGGGCAGGAACACGUAAUACUAAUAUUACCAGGAGAAUCAAUUAGCAGCGGGCAUGUACCCUCGACGACGGCCUCGCAUCUUGCUCCCCUAUCCACUAGUACACAAACAAGGAAGCAGGCUGCUGGAUGGAUUGUUGUGGAAGCUAGCUUAC